GACGAACGCUGGCGGCGUGCCUAAUACAUGCAAGUCGAACGCUUCUUUCCUCCCGAGUGCUUGCACUCAAUUGGAAAGAGGAGUGGCGGACGGGUGAGUAACACGUGGGUAACCUACCCAUCAGAGGGGGAUAACACUUGGAAACAGGUGCUAAUACCGCAUAACAGUUUAUGCCGCAUGGCAUAAGAGUGAAAGGCGCUUUCGGGUGUCGCUGAUGGAUGGACCCGCGGUGCAUUAGCUAGUUGGUGAGGUAACGGCUCACCAAGGCCACGAUGCAUAGCCGACCUGAGAGGGUGAUCGGCCACACUGGGACUGAGACACGGCCCAGACUCCUACGGGAGGCAGCAGUAGGGAAUCUUCGGCAAUGGACGAAAGUCUGACCGAGCAACGCCGCGGGAGUGAAGAAGGUUUUCGGAUCGUAAAACUCUGUUGUUAGAGAAGAACAAGGACGUUAGUAACUGAGCGUCCCCGGACGGUAUCUAACCAGAAAGCCACGGCUAACUACGU
rnacentral:rRNA from 1 species